ensembl:lncRNA
AUGGGGUGCUCUUCAUCCAGCGCGCAGACCCUCGACCAAGAGAACAGACCAGGUACGAAGCCGGAGGAGAGCCAUGGCGACCCGCUGGCUGUCGGAAACGGCUUCAUUGCGGAAGACGCACAAACCAUAGAGGACCAGAUGCAGUUGCCUGUGCAGACGGCCCUACUGGAUGAUCUCCAACGGGGAGCCAAUGAGGAGGCGGAGGCUGUGUUGGUAGCCCUGGAGGCCCAGGAGGAUCUUGGCUCUGGAGAAGAUCUCCUCACCGCCCUCGAGCCUCAACCAGAACCUGUCAGCCCUCUAGAGCCGACUCCAAAGGCUGGCUCUCUAGCUGAAGUUGCUACCGUGUCCCUGCAGCCUGUGGAGGAAGCUGUGCAUGUAGGAAGUGUAGUGCCUGAGGCUGCUGCGGAGGACCGAGUCCUUGUGGAGGCAUCAGAGGAAGUCCCUGCAGUUGAAGCCGUCGCGCAGACUGAGGCCCCUGCAGUUGAAGCCGUCGCGCAGACUGAGGCCCCUGCAGUUGAAGACGUUGUGCAGACUGAGGCCCCUGAUCGUGAAGACGUUGUGCAGACCUCCCCUGAGGCCGCCGCCCCUUUUGCUCAACUGGUUAUAUCUGAGCCAAGGAAGUACUCGCUCCUUUGGAGGCUGAUGCACCAGCCAAUGUCUCUACAGCGCCUUGUGAAGCUUUGGCACCAGCACCAAGUGAGGCUUCUGCAGCAGGUGAUGCUGCUGUUCCAAUUGAAGGUGUGGCAGCAGGUGAUGCUGCAGCUCUGGGUGACGGUGCAGCAGGAGGUGACGCUGCAGCUCCGGGCGAAAGUGCACUACCUGAAAAAGCUGAAUCUGCUGCUGUUGCGAUCCAGGACGCCCAAGUUCCAAAAGCUUCAGUGGAAACUGCAACCUCAGAGCCUGCAGCAGACUGUGCAGCCUCAGCGGAGGCUCCCGUGGUGGAGUCCACCCCAGCUGAAGCACCUUCAGCACCUGAGCCUUCACCUAAAGGUAUGUCAAUCUGACGAACACCCCGAUAUUGCUCUCAUUUUGUUUAGCUUUCUUUUCCAUCAAUGGGAGGGAUGA